rnacentral:rRNA from 1 species
AUUGAACGCUGGCGGCAUGCCUAACACAUGCAAGUCGAACGAGUGGCGGACGGGUGAGUAAUGUAUGGGAACGUGCCCGAUGGAGGGGGAUAACUACUGGAAACGGUGGCUAAUACCGCAUACCAUCGGAUGUGCCCAGAUGGGAUUAGCUAGUUGGUGGGGUAAAGGCUCACCUAGGCGACGAUCCCUAGCUGGUCUGAGAGGAUGACCAGCCACACUGGGACUGAGACACGGUCCAGACUCCUACGGGAGGCAGCAGUGGGGAAUAUUGCACAAUGGGCGCAAGCCUGAUGCAGCCAUGCCGCGUGUAUGAAGAAGGCCUUCGGGUUGUAAAGUACUUUCAGCGGGGAGGCGUUACCCGCAGAAGAAGCACCGGCUAACUCCGUGCCAGCAGCCGCGGUAAUUC